rnacentral:siRNA from 1 species
UCACUAUCUUCUAAGAAGUCUGU